UACGAAGGGGGCUAGCGUUGUUCGGAUUUACUGGGCGUAAAGCGCACGUAGGCGGUUUGUUAAGUCAGAGGUGAAAUCCUGGAGCUCAACUCCAGAACUGCCUUUGAUACUGGCAAGCUCGAGUCCGGAAGAGGUAAGUGGAACUCCUAGUGUAGAGGUGGAAUUCGUAGAUAUUAGGAAGAACACCAGUGGCGAAGGCGGCUUACUGGUCCGGAACUGACGCUGAGGUGCGAAAGCGUGGGGAGCAAACAGGAUGAGAAAC
rnacentral:rRNA from 1 species